CAGUAUACCAACCACAGCACACUACACAGCUAUAGAAAAGAAAAACCGGAUUGCAGUCUCAUUCUUCAUACAAAUAGAAAACUGAAGACUUUUUGGAAUACCACAGAUACACUUUUGAAAGCAGUACAAGUUCCAAUUUUGCCAUAUCUUGUAAUUGGAAUUUUGUCUACCUGUUCCUGCCUGAAACGUAGAGGCUACUAUAAAGAUCUACUUAAAGUACAGGCAGCUCCCGAAUUACAAAUAUUCAACUUAUAAACGACUCAUACUGAAGAACGGGGCUAAAACGACAGGAAGUGAGAAAAAUCUACCCCUCAAAAGGGAAAUACAGUCUUGGAAGAGUUAUCAUUGGGAAAAGGUGUCUCCACUGUAGCUUUCAUAUCAAUUCUUGUUUCCACAAUAAACCACAUUUUUCAAAAUCCUAUUAUCACAAUGACAGAAAGUGAGGUGAGAUCUUCUGAACUGGGGCAGACAGUAAAACAAACACCCUUCCCUGUGCUAUCCAACACAUAUAUAGAUGGAUAAAAGUUACAUUUAAAAUGUAUCUGUUCAGGCUUACAAAUUCAACUUUAAGAACAAACCUAGAGAGCGUAUCUUGUUUGUAACUUGGGCGUUGCCUGUACUAACAUGUAUUAGAAUGGGGCCACUGAUAUUAUCUUUGAGAGAAUCUUAGCCAAUGUCACCCACUAUUGUAGCUGCUAUUUGGCACAUUUAUUCGUGCAACAUUGUUGCCAUCAGCAUAGCCUCUUGCCUAGAGAAGCAUACAUUCCCAUGAGCACAGAAAGAUAGUGCUAUUGAUGAAACCUGUAUUCUACAAGAAAUGAAAAAGGCCAAAAACCGAUUGGAGCACAAUACUGUUUGAUGGUUCUAAGUCACUUAAGAAGACUGUCCUCACAAUUAAGGAAGGGGGGAGGUGUGUCCCAAUACAUCAUGAUAAGCACUACAGUAUUAUUUGAUUUCUGUGUCUCAGUGUUUUGCCGGAAAACUUAAAGUUCUGCUCAGGGAUAUAACCUAAAGAAGCUAAAGAUCACUUUUAAUUGUUUUUUAACUUUUGUACUGCAGUUCUUAAACUUGACUAAAGUGUGAGAUUGUCAGUGCCUUGAGUUCCCACAAUGAGAAAGCCAGAGUAUAAAUAAAGUUAAUAAUAAUUUUGACUAGCACUCUGUAUCUCACAUUGGCUCUACAGUGUGGAGACCUCUGAAGGCCUAUCAUGCAGUCAAAGAGGAAAAAUUAAUAUCACUAAUCAAAUAAACCAAUUAUGGGAGUAAGCAGAACAAAUUCUGGGUCAAGUUACAACUACCUUCCUCUGCAAGACAUGAGAAGCUAACAUGAUAAACAGAGGUGGUAGGUUUUUCGUUGCCUUCUUCCUUUGUAUUUCCCAGAAAACUACAUUUUUAUAAAUUGCAUAUUAAAGAACACAAAAUAGACAUCGAACAAAGGACAUGAGCUUAAGAUUCAUAGUUAAAAACUGUCUGGUUAGGCCUGCAGGAAGAGAUGUGCAUUUAGAUGGUUUUUAAAUUUUGACAGCUGAUCUAGCUGUCAGAGAUUUACUGGCAUGUCAUUCCAGAGUCUUGAGGCGGCCGAUCUAAAGGUCUUCUGAGUGAUAGUCAAGUUCUGGGAGACUGGAGCAAACACCCUCCAGAGGACCUAAGUGUUCAAGGUGGAUUGUAUAGGAGGCGGCGAUCCUGAAGGCUUGAUGGCACAGAUAUUACUACCACUGAAGAAGAUAGCAAGACAAAGAACAAUUUUAAAUCUAGUCCUACAUAUGUUGCUUUAUAGGAUAUAAGCCACAACGAUUGUUUUAUCCUUCUUGUUAGCUUUUCAAAUUUUAAAGAGGCUUAAUGAAAUAAAUUUAGGAAGAUCUUUAUCACAAUAUUCUUAGCUUUGUAUGUGAGUGCUUUACUUCCCUGUUUACAUUUUACUUGUAAAAUAAUCUUUUAAAGUCAGUUUUAAGUAUCUUUAAACUGUUUGUGUGUGUCUUCAAGUUGCUUGCUAACUUACAGCAAUCCCUAAAAUUGCAUACCGUUUCCUUAGACAAAAAAAAUUUAAGAAGUGGUUUUGCUAGUUCCAGGCUCUGGAAUAUAUCCCACAAGACCUGGUAUUCAUUGACAAUCUCCCAUCCAACUAUAAACUAGAGUGGAUCCUUUUGAACUUUCAAAGUCAGGCAGGACUUGGUGCCUUCAGGGUAUUUAGGCCCAAUCCACUGAAAUAAAAAGCUGGAAACUUCUACUGCCACAACUUUUGCCCCUUUCCCAUUUUGGGGUGUUUUCUUAAAUAAAUUAAAAGGCUCUCAACUGUAUUUUCAGAUUUUAUCCACAUUCAGUCUUUGAAACACCUAUAAUACUAGGUGGUAACUGUCCAAUGCCAGGGUUUUUUAAAAUCCACCUGCUUUAAAUUUUCUAACCUACCAGUCUACUGAGGUCAAUACUAACCAAUUAGAUAGAUUGUCACUUUUGAAAAAUGGAAUUUAUAACCUUUUGGGAAAAAACCUUUUGGAGAUCAUAACUUUUUUUAGAAAUGAAGGACCUUUCGGAGGAAAGCCAAAAACCCUUUAGAGUAGAAUCUUCUCUUGUGUUAUACAACCAUAGAAUCAUAGAAUAGUAGAGUUGGAAGAGACGUCAUGGGCCAUCUAGUCCAACCCCCCGCUAAGAAGCAGGAAAUAAUUAGAUAUAAUUAUGCAAGGCUGCAGUAAAGGAAGCUGCAUACCAAACAUGCAUACGGGAAACAAUAAGCAACAGGGUCAAGAUAAGCAUAUUACUAGUGAAGGCUUGAGGAUGGUUUUCAUUUCCAACAGUCACCACUUUUUAAUAUAUCCAUUCAGUCACAGUUAGAGGAAACUCAGACAUAAAUCAGUUUUGAGUUCUAAAGGCCAAAAUAAUAUCCACUGGUGGUCUAGAACCAAAAAACAAGAAAUUAAGGUUGCAAAUGCUAAAACACCACUAAAAGUCAGUAAGGACAAUAAACAUCAUUUAAUAGUUGAGAUUACUUGAACUCAAAAAGAACAACACAAUAAUCUAUGCAUUUUUUAGAAAACUAUCCAAUUAUUACAGCUACUUUCAUAGUAACGUAGAACUACAAACUGUUGGACAGAAAAAGAAGCAGAAAGGUUUUGAAUGAGAUGUUACAUGCCAUCUCAUCCCUGAAAAUAAAAAUAUGUCUGAAUCUAGCCAAAGUGCUGAGAUAACUAACACUACUGGAUAGAAACAAAAUUGCCAUCAAUCUAUAAAUAGGCUCUGCAAUCAUUCUAAUUACCUUAUUGACUUCUUUCACCAUUCCACAUUUGCUUUCAACCACAUUCAAGAGUCUAAUUGUCUCAGCUCUUAUAUCUUUACUCUCAUCUUUAGUGCCUGUCAUUAUAUUUGCCCCAUGAAAGCUGCUAGGAAUACUUUUGUAUGAUCGUAGUUCCUCACAGUAGAUUUAAUAUACCAAAAUUGCCCAUCACAUAAAAUAUUGUGCCAGAUGCUCCUAUGAAGGUGUAGCAUUGACUGUGAUACUAAGAAGUGUUAGUCCAUGGACCUGACUUGGCAUGUGAGCAAUUACCUGAUGCUCUACGAUAGGUUUCUAAGAAAAUAUUAUAAUAAUGUGAAACAAAGACAACAUAGCCCCUUACACAUUAGGGAAGAAUGCUGGUUUGCUAUAUCAAAUAGCUUAAGAUGGAUAAAUAGGACCAACUGCUUGAAAAGAAACAAUCUUAAAUUACAAAUGCCAUAAUUAUGGAAGCAUUUUAAAGAUAUUCCAAAAUAUUGUUCUAAAAUUAAUUUGCUCUAAGAAAACCACAGUCCAUUAAAAAUUAAGCAUAACUUUUUUGGAAUAUAAUAACUUUAAAAUCUGUCAUAUCUGAAAUAAUAAAGCUUCAAUCAAGUAAGCAAUGUGCAAACCCUAAGAACAUUUCAUCACAUUAGAGAUUUAAUAUCACAAAGUGCCAUGUCAUACUAAUUGUGAUAUACAAAAUAUAUAUUCUCACCUCCAUGCUCCCCAGCAAAUUUAUAUUGAUUGCAAUGACUGUGAUUUGUUAAUUCAAAAUCCUAUUUAAAUGGAAGCUUUCAACUGCUGAAGUCAGCAGCCAUGCCAUUCAUGUCUCCAAGACUAAGAAAACAUACUAUUUUCCUUCCUAGAACCAAUAUGACUGUGAUGAAAUAAGUGCUUAUUCAGCAAGCACUUGAAGGCAAUGCAUUACUCUACUUAAAUAUACUACCACUUUAUUAUCCAUUUUACACACGCUUCCAUAACAGUAACAAGUGUAUUGUUUGACACAUAGUGAAAACUUAUGAGUAACCCAAAGAUAUUCUGUCUGACCCCUGUCAGAUCAAUUAAUAAUUUAUUUAACAGUGACAAAGUAUUAUGACAAAAAAAUCCCAAGGCAACACACAGAGAGGUAUUCUAAUACUGAGCAUACUAUCUGCCAAACAAAACACAUACAGUGACAACAUAUGCAUAAAGUAAAAAUAUAAAAUGGUGAAUAAUGAUUUUUCUUCUGGAAAUCUUUUUGUUUUAAUCAUAUAUUGAAUGACAGAAAUGAGAACAGUCAAAGUUAUGAACACCGUGAUGACAUCGAAACAAGAUAUUGUUUGCUGUACGUAUCAUCAGUAAAAAAGUAAACUAUUACACCCAAACCGUGUUUCUUAGAAAUAUGUUAAAAUAGAAGAAUGCACAUACAUGAAAGCAUACCAAAAAAUAAGUAUAACUCUGUAUGAACACAUACUCUCACUAUUCAAGCAUAUGAUCAAAUUUCACCCUAAAAUGAAACUUAUCAUCUUUUAGCUGCAAUUGAUUCAAUGUCAGAAAAUCAAAGGUAUGUAACGGAUUCCUUCUCGUUAUUAUAGGCUGAAUCGGAUGAAUUUCCUUUACUCCCACAACCAAAAACCCAGAGGGGACAGUAUUUUCUAUGAUUACACUGAGAAAACAGCUCAAAAGAUUGGCCUGUAACUAGGGCCAUUCCAAUUCAAUAUUGAUGAUAUAGGUGUUAUAAAGAUUCCACAUCACAUUCUAUGAACAAAUAUUAGUCUUAGGUCCAGCACUCUAUUAGAAAUGAGUAUCUUGCUUCACGGUUGUGGCAAAACUAGAACUAAGCAUUGCCUAGAAUAAGGCAGAUGAAAUGAAGUGUCAGCUAAGUGCAUAGGCCUGAAAAGCUUAAACUUCCUGGCAUAUUGGAGUUUAAGUAUACGUAAUACAACAAGCUAAACAAGCUGCUUGUGAAUUUGAUUACACACUUAUAUAGCAAUAGAUUUCCAUGACCAGGAGGUAAUUUGAACCCUGGCCUGACAGUGUGCUAGUUCCACAAUCAAACAACUACACCAUACUGGUUCUCAUGAAAUAGUAUACCAUUUGCAAUAAAAAUCUAGGCUGAUAAUAAAGUAUGGGACAAAAACAACAUUGAGAAGCAUGUUGCUAGAAAAACAGAUGAUUUUAGAAAACCUUUACCAGAAACAACAAGCCUGCUACGGGGGUUGGGCCAGCAACAAUUGUUGGACAAGGGGACUACAGAGAAAAUUUGGUCUUCACAGUACAACUAUUUUUCUAGCAGUCUUUAGAAGACGGAAGUGAGAUGUGUGGAAAGAAAAUGCCCAUAUACUCUAUACUGCAAGAAACGCCCAUAUACUCUAUAUUGCAAAAACUCUAUACUGCAAGAGUUUACCUUCUCUAAUUCUUCAAAUACUCAACAGCUUUACUAUACCCAGGAAUUGAGAUUUUGCCCUUUUGUAGUAAGUCUUUUUGUGCAUUCUCUUAUUUCAAUUUCACAAAGAUGUGAGAUGGCUAUGACCAAAUUUAAAUAUAUCACUACCCUGUUUCCCCUAAAAUAAGACAUCCCCAGAAAAUAAGACCUAGUAGAGGUUUUGCUGAAUUGCUAAAUAUAAGGCCUCCCCCGAAAGUAAAACCUAGCAAAGUUUUUGUUUGGAAGCAUGCCCGCCUAACAGAACACCAGAGCAUGCAGGAUCGGUAAAUGUACGUACCAUAGAGUGUUGUUCAUGGAAAUAAUGGUAGUAACAAGAAAUUCUUGAUAGGAUUCACAGUUUGUCUGGUUAUGCUGAUUUGUGAUGACAACUACUGUACAGUAUAUAAUAAACAUUCAUUUUUUUGUUCUACAAUAAAUGUGAGUUCUUCUUCAUGGAAAAAUAAGACAUCCCCUGAAAAUAAGACCUAGCACAUCUUUGGGAGCAAACAUUAAUAUAAGACACUGUCUUAUUUUCGGGGAAACACGGUAGGUCCAGAUGUUACACACUGGAGCUUUUAAUAUACUCAAAUCUGAAAUUGUUGGUCUUCUAACAUAUGAAAUGUUACUAAUUCAGCUUCUUUACUGAAGGAUUGCAAGACCAAUAUUAACAUCAGUGUAAAAAAAAGUGAUCUGAAGAAGACUCAAAAGAUUACAAGCAUCAUAAUAUCCAUCCAAAAUAGAAAGCAUUGUUAAAGCAAGAUUUUAUAACAUUUAAAAGAAAAAAGAUCUUGAUAAAUCGGAGAUCGGAGCUCAGUGGUAGACUUGGAGACAAAGCCCAGCAUGAGGAUUAAAGAUUGUGCCAAGUGAUUCAAGAUUAUGAAAAUCCAGAAAGACCAUGAAGCUUUCCAUAAACAACUCUCCUUUCUGAAAGAAUGGCUAGUAAUAUGAAGAAUUAGGUUUUGUGGAAAUAAAUAUAAAGUUAUGCACACUAGGGUAAAAAGGAAUCCUAAUCAGGUGUAUAAAUUAUAAGAGUCUAAAGUAAGUACUGUACUUCUUCAAGUAGAAUAUAUGUUGCCAGAAGAUUUGUUGAUGGUGACUAAUUUAGAAGGCUUUAAAAGCAGUUUAGAUAGAACAAUAACAGGUAGAUAGGCCUAUGGAUAAUAGUGGUCAUGAUUACUAAACGGAACCACACAGAAACUCUUCCAAUACUGCCUGGGUGUGCAUAUCCUUCAUACCUUUUGUGAAUUCACUGUAGUCAUCUGUCUACUAAUGUAAGAAAUGAUAUGCUAUACUAACACAGAAGACCUGGCCUGUGAUGCAUGAACAGAUUAAUAACAAGUCCGUUAUAAUUCUGGUCCUUAUCUAUAUUUGAAAUUUGCUUGGUCACUUUAUAGCUGAUUUCCACCUCAGAAUUCAUCCUUCCCUUUCGUGUGCCUUUCAUGUAUGUCCUAUCUGAUACAGACACUUUUACCAGUUUGGUUGUUGCCCAUUCAUGUCCUAUUGGACUUUUUACUGACAUGUGAUGACUGUUAAUUAUUUUGUGUUUUUAAUGAUUUUUUUUAAUCACGAUCUGUUUAAAUUGUUUUAAUUAUGAUGUUGCUGUAUAAUUGAUGAUUCUAUGAUGUUAAAUGUAUUGAUUGGGCCUGGUCCCCAUGUGAGCCGCUCUAAGUCCCCGUUGGGGGAGAUGGAGGUGGCAUACAAAAAUAAAGUUAUUAAUAAUAAUAAUAAUAAUAAAUGGCUGAAAUUUUCUUAUUUUACUAAGAGAGUUAAGUACAAAGGAUUUCCUAAACUUUGCUGAUGGGAUUACAGAAUAGGGGUAAAAACAAAAGCUAGGGGAGAAAUAACAGUUUUCUCACAGUGAACAUCAACAAGCAGAACAAUAUCACUGCAAGCUCUCUCUGUUGCACACAUGGGCACAAGAAACAAUCAUGUGUGAGCCUUUUAUGCUUAGGGUUUUCUUGGGGCACAAGCUACA